rnacentral:rRNA from 1 species
GACGAACGCUGGCGGCGUGCUUAACACAUGCAAGUCGAACGGAAAGGCCCUGCUUUUGUGGGGUGCUCGAGUGGCGAACGGGUGAGCAACACGUGAGUAACCUGCCCUUGACUUUGGGAUAACUUCAGGAAACUGGGGCUAAUACCGGAUAGGAGCUCCUGCUGCAUGGUGGGGGUUGGAAAGUUUCGGCGGUUGGGGAUGGACUCGCGGCUUAUCGGCUUGUUGGUGGGGUAGUGGCUUACCAAGGCUUUGACGGGUAGCCGGCCUGAGAGGGUGACCGGCCACAUUGGGACUGAGAUACGGCCCAGACUCCUACGGGAGGCAGCAGUGGGGAAUAUUGCACAAUGGGCGGAAGCCUGAUGCAGCAACGCCGCGUGCGGGAUGACGGCCUUCGGGUUGUAAACCGCUUUCGCCUGUGACGAAGCGUGAGUGACGGUAAUGGGUAAAGAAGCACCGGCUAACUUCGUG